CCUAACGGCGUGCCUCGGC
rnacentral:siRNA from 1 species